rnacentral:rRNA from 1 species
GAUGAACGCUGGCGGCGUGCCUAAUACAUGCAAGUUGAGCGAUGAAGAUUGGUGCUUGCACCAAUUUGAAGAGCAGCGAACGGGUGAGUAACGCGUGGGGAAUCUGCCUUUGAGCGGGGGACAACAUUUGGAAACGAAUGCUAAUACCGCAUAACAACUUUAAACAUAAGUUUUAAGUUUGAAAGAUGCAAUUGCAUCACUCAAAGAUGAUCCCGCGUUGUAUUAGCUAGUUGGUGAGGUAAAGGCUCACCAAGGCGAUGAUACAUAGCCGACCUGAGAGGGUGAUCGGCCACAUUGGGACUGAGACACGGCCCAAACUCCUACGGGAGGCAGCAGUAGGGAAUCUUCGGCAAUGGACGAAAGUCUGACCGAGCAACGCCGCGUGAGUGAAGAAGGUUUUCGGAUCGUAAAACUCUGUUGGUAGAGAAGAACGUUGGUGAGAGUGGAAAGCUCAUCAAGUGACGGUAACUACCCAGAAAGGGACGGCUAACUACGUG